CAUUAUCGCAGUGUUCUUAAUAGAUCUCGUUAAUAUUCAGAGACAUGUGAAGCUAUAUUUUCAGCUCCUUCUCAAAGCUGGGCCUCUCCUUCAGUGUACGUCCACUUCCUUAAUUAAUUACAGCUUUAAUGAAGCUGCUACCAUGUAAGGCCCGCUGCACCUCUGUGCUUCUGUUUGUGUCUGCAGCGUGACUUCAAAGCUAUUCACCAGCUAAAGGCCAGGUAGGUGGCUGCAUACACGGAGGACCUCAUUUGUGAUAAUAAGUACUUUUACAAUUAUGUAAGAACAGUGUUGUGGAGAAUUACCUAUGGGAAAUCAAUGAGUUGACUUGCCCUGAACACAGGCUGUUUGGCUUUGUUAAAAGUAACCCAGUACAAUUGUUUCAAUUAAAUGGGGGGGUUAAUUGUGGAGUUUUAUGUUUCUGCUUUGUGUUAAUGUAAAAGCAGCUGUAUGUUUAGAUGCUGCUGUCUCAUUAAGCCAGAUGCCAGAUAAACACAGAUUGAAACCACAAUCCCAGCCUCGAUUAGAUGUGUAAAGUGUAGUAUCUGCUGGUUUCAAAGUGCUGGGAUACUGGAACAGGCCCCUCUCCUCCCUGAUGUCUCUGAUGCACUGUAGAUGCUUACCCAAGAUGUUUUUGGGGUUUUAUUGACAUGCUCUGACUCUACUACAUCUCAGAGGGAAAUAUGGUACUUGUUACUACAUACAUUUGGCAAACUUUAGUUCCCAGUAACUUUUAAGAUAAAUAUUUUUAAGCAAUGGAUUUUAUAACAAACUUUUCAAUUACAAAAUAUGGUUUAAGACGAGUUGUUUCCAAACUGUUGGGCUAUUACACCAUACAAAAAGCAUUGUGUAGUGGGGGUGACAUUUUAGGCCCCUUUUCACUGGUUUAUCAUGUUUUGAAUGAAGGUCAAAAUAUGGUGAAAUGAUCCUUUAUCUCGCCAAAAAAUAUUCUAUUACUUAAUAAAGAUGUUAGUAUCAGAACUUAGUUUUUACUUCUUUCCUUCUUUCUCAUUGAAGUAUACAGAACUGUGGCAGCCAGAACAGAGACAUGCAAUGGUCCUUCAUAGUUAUUUAACUAAUGAUGUCAUAAAUAAUAAUGUUUCAGUCAGGAAGCCCUAACCAGUGGUCACUUUAAAUCAGGGGUGUCCAAACUGUUUUCACUCAGGGCCACAAACAGAAAAACAUAUGAAAAGCUGAGCCCCUCACUAGAGGAGAGGCUUAUUGCCUCAUAAUAGGGAUGUUAACGGUUAAUCGACUAUCGAUUAAUUGUCGAAAAGAAUUUACUCGAUUAAAUUAAAUUAAUUGUGACUAAUUGAACAUUGUAAUCUAUGACCGUUUCCCACAGGACGUUCUUGAACGUGACCCGAGAUUCUCGCGAGCCGCUAGAGCUAGACACAAACUUGAGGCGGCAAAAAAACUAAAACAAACAAUGAUGAGGCGGUCAAAACGGAGUGGAGUGUGGGAGCAUUUUAGAUUAAUUAACGAUGAAAAAGACGCACAAUGCAAACUUUGCGGUGCUACAUUUAAAUACAACAGCUCUACAAGUUCGUUAAGAUACCACCUGAACAACUUGCAUGUAACGUUAGCCAUUCCGUCGCCUUCACAACCUACAAUUGCUGCUGUGCUGGGAAGGCGAGUAUGCGACCAAAGAAAAGCAGACGGCAUUACUCAGAGAAUUUGCGGGAUGAUUGAAAGAGAUAUAAUGCCAAUUAGCACCACCGAGGCCGAGGGAUUUCGGGAGCUGAUACAAUUCAUGGAGCCAGGAUAUAACAUCCCUUCGCGAGCGACUGUGACUUCCAACUUGGAGGCACGCUACGAAAUUAAGAAGGCUAAGCUAAAAACAUGUUUGUCCGCGGCUAAUGUGGCUCUGACGACGGAUUGUUGGACAGCACUGACUACAGAAAGCUACAUCACGAUUACUUGCCACUAUAUUGAAAACGACUGGCAGGUAAAGUCGGCAGUCCUUCUUACGGAGAGCUUAUCCGAGAGACAUACAGCUGAUAAUUUAGCUGCCAAACUGAACCAGGCUGUGGAGUCAUGGGGACUCACCGGCCGUGUAGUAGCCUGUGUGCACGACAACGCUCGGAACAUUGUUUCAGCAAACAACCCCGCACGAGUCAGUUGGAAGUCAGUGUGUUGCUUUGCUCAUACUUUAAAUCUGGCCGUCAAUGACGGAUUCGCUGCUGCUGGUGUCAACCGAGUAAUUGGAGCUGCUGGCAGGCUGGUCAAGCACUUCAAUCACAGCACACCAGCAACGAAAGCGCUAGAAGCAAAACAAAGACAAAUGCAGCUACCAGCUCAUCGGCUCAUUCAGUCCUGUAAGACCAGGUGGAACUCUGUACAUGCGAUGUUUGGCAGACUCGUAGAACAGCGAUGGGCCGUGUGUGCUGUGCUAUCAGACCGCUCAGAGACCAAGCUUUCAGAUGCGAGGACGCUGGAGUUGAGAGACGACUUCUGGCAGCUUAUGGAGGACAUAGCGCCAGCACUAGAGGCUCUCCAAUGUGCUACUACUGUAAUGUCAGCAGAGGCGGAGGUAUCCAUAUCCAACACGUACCCCAUCACAUUUAGUCUGAUUAACACGCAUCUCAAGAUGGCAAAUGGAGACAGCAACGAGUGGCGGAAUUCAAAUCUAAAGUGCGCACUUCGUUGGGGGAACGGAUGAAGGUUGAGUCUGAAGACCUCACAUCAACAACACCAAUGAUAGCAACGAUGCUGGACCCACGGCAUAAGCACCUGGGAUUUCUAAGCCCAGCAAGCAGGAUCUCAGCUAAUACCAAACUGCUUGAACUGGCUAUGGAAGAACAUGUGGACUCCACAUCAACAAAUGAAGCCACCACUGGAGAUGAUGUGCCAGUCCAGGGAGCUACACUUCAGAGACACACUUCUGCUAUGACUCUUCUACUGGGUGAAAACUAUACCACCAGCAGCAACGAUGACAUUAAAGAGGAAGUGGACAUGUUUCUGAAGGAUGCCUCACCACUCCUUGAUUCCAGUCCCACAGAAUGGUGGAAAGUCAAUGAAGGAAGAUUUCCGAGGCUGGCAAAUGUGGCACGACGAUAUCUGUGCAUACCGGGCACGUCUGUCCCAUCAGAACGUGUAUUCUCAGCAGCUGGCCUGACUGUAAACAGGCUGCGCACACGACUUACUCCUGACCACGUUAAUAUGCUUAUUUUCUUGAACAAAAAUAGAGGGGUCUAGGUCAGGAGCCUAUUCAAAACACAUUGAGACAGGAAUGUUUUUGUUUCAGGAGAGGUAGCCUAUAUCUUCAUUUGACUGUUCUAAGGGUCGCCCUCUAAUGUUACUGUCACCUUCCUCAGGGAUGAUUUAAGUUGUGUUCAGAAUAUAUUUGAAGUUUCCAGGGCUAGUUAUCUUACUGUUACCUUUCUCAGACCAAAGGGGAUUAUAAAUGCUGCUAAUGUUUCAAGUUUUACAUAUGUAGUUAACCAGAUUAUAAUGUGUAGGCUUAAUAUUGUGUAGGCUAGGCCUACCCAUAUUGUUUAGAUUUCUAUUUAAAAUUAAUUUUAUUUUGCUUAAUGUUUCACAUGCGACAGGUGAGCCAGUGCACAAUUAUUUUGUUAUGUAUUUUAAUUUUCUGUGCUUAAUGUAUUUUGUUAAACUACAUAAAUGCCAUUAUCUGCACAUUAUCCUAACUGGUACAAUAAAACAUCAAUUGUGCAAUAUA